rnacentral:lncRNA from 13 species
AUGGUCCCUCAAAGUCUUAACUCAUCCAGGAUUAAGUCAAAAGUCCCAAGUCCAAGUAUAAAGUCUCAUCUGAGACAAGGCAAGUCUCUUCCACCUGUGAGCAGAAUCUCAAUGCUGCUUUUCUCUCCCGGAAGCUACAGUGAAACGAAUCCAGGAACCUGCUUUAUGGGCAAAGGGGUAAGAAUUUCUUACCCGCAGACCCCGCCCCGCCCCGUCCCCUACCCCUCCCCCAUCCGCCCCCACACCCCUUCCCCCCCCACCCGGAAAGAGAAAGCUCCCGGCCUUUCUCUCUCUGAGCACUCUGAAAUAAUAAUUAAAGAAUAACAACCACAAUCUUCGGGAAAAUCCUAAGUUCUUUUUACUGGUAGUUCUAAAAUAGACCAGCCUGACCAACAUGAAGAAAUCCUGUCUCUACUUAAAUACAAAAUUAGCCUGGCAUGGUGGCACAUGUCUGUAAUCCCAGCUACUCAGGAAGCUAGAGCAAGAAAAUCACUUGAGGAGAACGAUCCAAGAUGGCCGAUCGCUAACAUCCCGGGAUUGCAGCUCUCAGGGAAGGCGUGGAGAACUAGAGGACGCCACACUUUCAGACAAAGUCUGGUCGCUCACGGAGCAGAAGAUCCCCCAGUGGUGGAAACACACGAGUCGCCAGCGCGACUCUCGUGGCCAGCGCAGCAGUUCCUCCGGCACCUCGGCGCAGCAGCGCUCGGCGCAGAGUAAACAGGACCAGUUCCCCUUCUGACUGAGGCUUGGAGUUCCGGGAAGGCAGAGUCACCUACUACGGACACAAGAAGGAAGCCAGACAGGAGAAUCCUGGGCAGAAAAGCACCAUCAGUCUUAACGCCGCUGCUCUGGUCCUGGGAACUAACAACCUGGACGUCCACUCAAGAGACCUAAUCUGAAAGUUGGUAAUUUCAAAGACGACAGGAGGAUAAAUUUACAAUGAUGGGAAGAAACCAGCGUAAAAAAGCUGAGAAUACUCAAAGUCAGAACGCCUCUCCCUCUAAAGAUGAUCACAGUUCCACAUCGACAAUGGAACAAGGCUUGAUGGAGAA